rnacentral:rRNA from 1 species
AGAGUUUGAUCCUGGCUCAGAUUGAACGCUGGCGGAAUGCUUUACACAUGCAAGUCGAACGGCAGCACGGGGGCAACCCUGGUGGCGAGUGGCGAACGGGUGAGUAACACAUCGGAACGUGCCCAGUCGUGGGGGAUAACUACGCGAAAGCGUAGCUAAUACCGCAUACGAUCUGAGGAUGAAAGCGGGGGACCUGCGAGGGCCUCGCGCGAUUGGAGCGGCCGAUGGCAGAUUAGGUAGUUGGUGGGGUAAAGGCCUACCAAGCCUGCGAUCUGUAGCUGGUCUGAGAGGACGACCAGCCACACUGGGACUGAGACACGGCCCAGACUCCUACGGGAGGCAGCAGUGGGGAAUUUUGGACAAUGGGCGCAAGCCUGAUCCAGCCAUUCCGCGUGCAGGAUGAAGGCCCUCGGGUUGUAAACUGCUUUUGUACGGAACGAAACGCGCCGAGUUAAUACCUUGGCGUAAUGACGGUACCGUAAGAAUAAGCACCGGCCAACUACGUGCCAGCAGCCGCGGUAAUACGUAGGGUGCGAGCGUUAAUCGGAAUUACUGGGCGUAAAGCGUGCGCAGGCGGUGAUGUAAGACAGAUGUGAAAUCCCCGGGCUCAACCUGGGAACUGCAUUUGUGACUGCAUUGCUGGAGUGCGGCAGAGGGGGAUGGAAUUCCGCGUGUAGCAGUGAAAUGCGUAGA